rnacentral:rRNA from 1 species
GAUGAACGCUGGCGGCGUGCCUAAUACAUGCAAGUCGAGCGAACAGAUGAGGAGCUUGCUCCUCUGACGUUAGCGGCGGACGGGUGAGUAACACGUGGAUAACCUACCUAUAAGACUGGGAUAACUUCGGGAAACCGGAGCUAAUACCGGAUAAUAUAUUGAACCGCAUGGUUCAAUAGUGAAAGACGGUUUUGCUGUCACUUAUAGAUGGAUCCGCGCCGCAUUAGCUAGUUGGUAAGGUAACGGCUUACCAAGGCAACGAUGCGUAGCCGACCUGAGAGGGUGAUCGGCCACACUGGAACUGAGACACGGUCCAGACUCCUACGGGAGGCAGCAGUAGGGAAUCUUCCGCAAUGGGCGAGAGCCUGACGGAGCAACACCGCGUGAGUGAUGAAGGUCUUCGGAUCGUAAAACUCUGUUAUUAGGGAAGAACAAAUGUGUAAGUAACUAUGCACGUCUUGACGGUACCUAAUCAGAAAGCCACGGCUAACUACGUG